GAUGAACGCUGGCGGCGUGCCUAAUACAUGCAAGUCGAGCGAACAGACGAGGAGCUUGCUCCUCUGACGUUGGCGGCGGACGGGUGAGUAACACGUGGAUAACCUACCUAUAAGACUGGGAUAACUUCGGGAAACCGGAGCUAAUACCGGAUAAUAUAUUGAACCGCAUGGUUCAAUAGUGAAAGACGGUUUUGCUGUCACUUAUAGAUGGAUCCGCGCCGCAUUAGCUAGUUGGUAAGGUAACGGCUUACCAAGGCAACGAUGCGUAGCCGACCUGAGAGCGUGAUCGGCCACACUGGAACUGAGACACGGUCCAGACUCCUACGGGAGGCAGCAGUAGGGAAUCUUCCGCAAUGGGCGAAAGCCUGACGGAGCAACGCCGCGUGAGUGAUGAAGGUCUUCGGAUCGUAAAACUCUGUUAUUAGGGAAGAACAAAUGUGUAAGUAACUAUGCACGUCUUGACGGUACCUAAUCAGAAAGCCACGGCUAACUACGUG
rnacentral:rRNA from 1 species